GGACCCGUGGUGGAAUGGUUAACACGUCGCUCUUACAAGGCGAAGACUGAGAGUUCGAUUCUCUCCGGGUCCA
rnacentral:tRNA from 1 species